GCUCAGUCCUUUGACAAAGUUGAAUAUUCGUCUCAAGCCCAAAUUGCUUUAACACUGGCUAAAGGUUGUCAUUUUCUCUUGCCUCGUUUAGAUAAAGGGAAAUUUUUCCCUUUCUGAUAUUCAAGUUAUAAAGAAUUUAUGUCCUUGAAAAUAUAAAUGUUUUGACUACAGUUUUCAGGAAAUAUGUCCUUUCACUCUCCUGCCGCUUACUGCUGACUUAGACUAUUUCUGUGGCUCUACCAUCUGUACAUGGCUAGGAUGGAUUCUCAACUUCAGCAAAGAUUUAGUGCAACCUCAAACUGUUUUAGGAAAGAAAACAGAUAAAAAGCACAUUUAAGAUUUAAAUUAAUGUAUUUGGGCAUGCUAGUUUGCUGAUGUUCUCAGAUAUAGUGAUGUAAAAAAAAAAAAAGAAAAAGAAAUGGGACUUGCCAGUUUUUAUAGUCCCUAAAAGAAGAACCGAAACAUUUAAAUUGGGCUGCUAGCAUUUAUGUUGGGAUCCCAGAUAGAUAGAUGCUGUCCUUGGCAGCAGAAGAAGCUAGCUAGCCAGGAGUAUGAAGUCAUGUUGACUGCAUCUAAAUUAGUCCCCUAGAAUUCCAAAGGGAGGCUUGCUAUUAACCAUGGCUGACAAUGUCACUUUGACAAAGUGUAUCACGGCUUUCCCCUGGCAUAAAGAAAUACAUACCAAUUUGCCUAAAAAUCUUGCAUGGGAAGUGGGAGGAAGGAGAGUGAUAUUUGGGUGUAUUUCAGGUGGAGGCCAAGCUAAUUGACAAAUUGGACAGCCUGAUGUCGGAGGGCAAAGGUGAUGAAACGUACCGUGAGCUCUUCAACAGUAUGUGAGUAAUGUGUUUCUCUCCACUUGGUUCUAUUCAGGACAUCUGGUGUCGGUCCUGAGCCGUUCUGCACCACAGUAGACGAGAGCUACAGAGACAGCUUGGGUCUCAUAGGAGAGCUUUGUCUUUGUGGAGUGUGAAAUAAAGGAUAAUUGCCUACCUCUAGCAAGUGGAUCUUAUUAUGUUGAUGAUUAGUUAUGUCUCCUUAUUUUAAUCUCCGAUUAGGACAGGUUGCCUAUGUUACAUAACAAAGCUCACUCUUUUCACGCUUGGUAAUUUCAAGGGAAAAUAAGGCCAUUGUUAUAAGAUAAUGAUUUUAAAGAGAGUUAUGAGUGGGAGAGGAGAAAAGUGUGUGAUUAUAACAUUUGUAUACAGUGUUUUCCAAAGUAUGACUCUGGCUGAUUUGCUGUUAGAAAAUUAACUUCGUUUGUGCCUGAUGAUCAGCACCUGCUUCCAUGCUGACCAUUUUUUUUGGCUUGGGACUGUUAAAUACUUCCCCAGUGCUGCUUAUUAGAUUGCCACCAAAGCAAGUCAUUUCUAGUAAAUUUGGUGUUUGGGAUUUGCAAAGAGAAUAGG
rnacentral:lncRNA from 1 species